AUUCCAAAGGUCUGGGCGGCUCCUGCCCUCAGCCUGUUCCCCGGCUGGCGAGUACCUAAACCCGCCUGCAAAGUUCCAUAUAACCAGUCCAUUCCCGAAAAGGGGAACAGCUAGUCCGGUCUCAGCUCCCUAGCUUAGCCCCGAGACCAGUGAAAAACCGCUGCGAGUGAGGUAUCCGCACCCGGCUCCCGGCCAUCCCGCCAUCUGCCUCCAGCUGCCGCCAGCCAAGGUCGCCAGCAGGCCCUGCUUUGGAGCUGUACCAGCACCACCUGCUGGUUGAAAAGCGCUACUACACCCCCCAUACCACAGAAAGAAUGAUACUAUAAGAGC